AUUUAGGGAGGGAAACACCAGUGGCGAAAGGCGACUUUCUGGACUGUGUCUGACACUGAGGCGCGAAAGGCCAGGGGUAGUGAACGGGAUUAGAUACCCCCGGUAAAUCCUGGCCGUAAACGAUGGGUACUAGGUGUUGGGGGGUAUCGACCCCUCCAGUGCCGCAGCUAACGUAAUAAGUACUCCGCCUGGGGAGUACGGCCGCAAGGGUUGAAACUCAAAGGAAUUGACGGGGGGCCCGCACAAGCGGUGGAGUAUGUGGUUUAAUUCGACGCAACGCGGAGAACCUUACCAGGACUUGACAUCGUAUGAUGAACCUAGAGAUAGGAAGUUCUCUUUCGGGGAGACAUAUAGACAGGUGGUGCAUGGCUGUCGUCAGCUCGUGUCGUGAGAUGUUGGGUUAAGUCCCGCAACGAGCGCAACCCUUAUCCUAUGUUGCCAGCACGUAAUGGUGGGAACUCAUGGGAGACUGCCGUGGAUAACACGGAGGAAGGUGGGGAUGACGUCAAGUCAUCAUGCCCCUUAUGUCCUGGGCUACACACGUACUACAAUGGGUUUUAAUAGAGGGAUGCAAAACCGCGAGGUCAAGCCAAUCUCAAAAACAAACUCUCAGUUCGGAUCGGAGGCUGCAACUCGCCUCCGUGAAGUCGGAAUCGCUAGUAAUCGCAGAUCAGCAUGCUGCGAUGAAUACGUUCCCGGGCCUUGUACACACCGCCCGUCACACCACGAAAAUUUUCACCACCGGAAACCGGUGAGGUAACCAGCAAUGGAGCCA
rnacentral:rRNA from 1 species